UACAGAGGGUGCGAGCGUUGUCCGGAAUCACUGGGCGUAAAGGGCGCGUAGGUGGCCCGAUAAGUCGGGGGUGAAAUCUCGAGGCUCAACUUCGAGGCUGCCUCCUAAACUGUCGGGCUUGAGCAGAGUAGAGGCAGGUGGAAUUCCCGGUGUAGCGGUGGAAUGCGUAGAGAUCGGGAAGAACAUCGGUGGCGAAGGCGGCCUGCUGGGCUCUUGCUGACACUGAGGCGCGACAGCGUGGGGAGCAAACAGG
rnacentral:rRNA from 1 species